rnacentral:rRNA from 1 species
GGACCUGACUGCUAUCGGAUUGAUACUAAGCCAUGCGAGUCAUUGUAGCAAUACAAGGCAUACGGCUCAGUAACGCGUAGUCAACCUAACCUAUGGACGGGAAUAACCUCGGGAAACUGAGAAUAAUGCCCGGUAGAACAUUAUGCCUGGAAUGGUUUAUGUUCCAAAUGAUUUAUCGCCGUAGGAUGGGACUGCGGCCUAUCAGUUUGUUGGUGAGGUAAUGGCCCACCAAGACUAUUACAGGUACGGGCUCUGAGAGGAGUAGCCCGGAGAUGGGUACUGAGACACGGGCCCAGGCCCUAUGGGGCGCAGCAGGCGAGAAAACUUUGCAAUGUGCGAAAGCACGACAAGGUUAAUCCGAGUGGUUUCUGCUAAAGAAACCUUUUGUCAGUCCUAGAAACACUGGUGAAUAAGGGGUGGGCAAGUUCUGGUGU